AUUGAACGCUGGCGGCAGGCCUAACACAUGCAAGUCGAGCGAGCGGCGGACGGGUGAGUAAUGUCUGGGAAACUGCCUGAUGUAGGGGGAUAACUACUGGAACCGGUAGCUAAUACCGCAUACCAUCAGAUUUUCCCAGAUGGGAUUAGCUAGUAGGUGGGGUAACUACUCACCUAGGCGACGAUCCCUAGCUGGUCUGAGUGGAUGACCAGCCACACUGGAACUGAGACCCGGUCCAGACUCCUACGGUAGGCAGCAGUGGGGAAUAUUGCACAAUGGGCGCCAGCCUGAUGCAGCCAUGCGGCGUGUGUGAAGAAGGCCUUCGGGUUGUAAAGCACUUUCAUCGGGGAGGCGGUACCUGCAGAAGAAGCACCGACUAACACCGUGCCAGCCGCCGCGGUAAUGC
rnacentral:rRNA from 1 species